UUCUAGUAGUACAACUUUCUCUUCAUCAACGGCAGAGUUACUUAGUUUUCCCUACAUUCUUUCAGUUCAAAAUUGCACGUUCAUCUGGGGUAGGAAUUAAAGCUACCCUGGGCCUAUGUUAAGCUAAGGAUGAACUUUGAAAAGGAGGGGAUAACCAUGUGAUUGCUCAUCUUCUUUUCCACCAUUUGGUUGGUCUUAAAUUUUUCCUCUCCCUACAUGUAAAUCAAAAGUCAAGGUUCUCACAACUAAGUAAAGAGAUGCUAUUGACCGUAUUUAUCAGCAAUCAAGGAGCUGAACAAGUUACCUAGUACAUGGAGACUAAAGGAAGUUGAGGGCAAGAAAGCUUGAAUUCCCGGGUACUUUUGUUUUACAUCAUAUAUGACAUAAGAUUCAAAGCAUGAAUCCUAUUCUUUGCAUGAGAACAUACUGAACGUAAAGCUCAUUAGCCAAACAAAAGCAUCUUUGAAGGAUAAAUAUCAGAGUCUCCAAAAAAAAAAUUUGUGGAUAAUCAUAAACUCCUUUUGUCAUGCUUAUUAUUCUUUAGCAUAUGCUCCUAUACCCCAUCUCUCUUUCUCUUGUUUGUCUUAUUCGUCCUCCUUUUGUCCCAAUUUGGCACCUCUCCAUUGAAGACCAACUACCUUUUGGCGUCAUU
rnacentral:sRNA from 10 species